AAAUUGAAGAGUUUGAUCAUGGCUCAGAUUGAACGCUGGCGGCAGGCCUAACACAUGCAAGUCGAACGGUAACAGGAAGCAGCUUGCUGCUUCGCUGACGAGUGGCGGACGGGUGAGUAAUGUCUGGGAAACUGCCUGAUGGAGGGGGAUAACUACUGGAAACGGUGGCUAAUACCGCAUAACGUCGCAAGACCAAAGAGGGGGACCUUCGGGCCUCUUGCCAUCAGAUGUGCCCAGAUGGGAUUAGCUUGUUGGUGAGGUAACGGCUCACCAAGGCGACGAUCCCUAGCUGGUCUGAGAGGAUGACCAGCCACACUGGAACUGAGACACGGUCCAGACUCCUACGGGAGGCAGCAGUGGGGAAUAUUGCACAAUGGGCGCAAGCCUGAUGCAGCCAUGCCGCGUGUAUGAAGAAGGCCUUCGGGUUGUAAAGUACUUUCAGCGGGGAGGAAGGUGUUGCGGUUAAUAACCGCAGCAAUUGACGUUACCCGCAGAAGAAGCACCGGCUAACUCCGUGCCAGCAGCCGCGGUAAUACGGAGGGUGCAAGCGUUAAUCGGAAUUACUGGGCGUAAAGCGCACGCAGGCGGUCUGUCAAGUCGGAUGUGAAAUCCCCGGGCUCAACCUGGGAACUGCAUUCGAAACUGGCAGGCUUGAGUCUUGUAGAGGGGGGUAGAAUUCCAGGUGUAGCGGUGAAAUGCGUAGAGAUCUGGAGGAAUACCGGUGGCGAAGGCGGCCCCCUGGACAAAGACUGACGCUCAGGUGCGAAAGCGUGGGGAGCAAACAGGAUUAGAUACCCUGGUAGUCCACGCCGUAAACGAUGUCUACUUGGAGGUUGUGCCCUUGAGGCGUGGCUUCCGGAGCUAACGCGUUAAGUAGACCGCCUGGGGAGUACGGCCGCAAGGUUAAAACUCAAAUGAAUUGACGGGGGCCCGCACAAGCGGUGGAGCAUGUGGUUUAAUUCGAUGCAACGCGAAGAACCUUACCUGGUCUUGACAUCCACGGAAGGUCUCAGAGAUGAGACUGUGCCUUCGGGAACCGUGAGACAGGUGCUGCAUGGCUGUCGUCAGCUCGUGUUGUGAAAUGUUGGGUUAAGUCCCGCAACGAGCGCAACCCUUAUCCUUUGUUGCCAGCGGUCCGGCCGGGAACUCAAAGGAGACUGCCAGUGAUAAACUGGAGGAAGGUGGGGAUGACGUCAAGUCAUCAUGGCCCUUACGACCAGGGCUACACACGUGCUACAAUGGCGCAUACAAAGAGAAGCGACCUCGCGAGAGCAAGCGGACCUCAUAAAGUGCGUCGUAGUCCGGAUUGGAGUCUGCAACUCGACUCCAUGAAGUCGGAAUCGCUAGUAAUCGUGGAUCAGAAUGCCACGGUGAAUACGUUCCCGGGCCUUGUACACACCGCCCGUCACACCAUGGGAGUGGGUUGCAAAAGAAGUAGGUAGCUUAACCUUCGGGAGGGCGCUUACCACUUUGUGAUUCAUGACUGGGGUGAAGUCGUAACAAGGUAACCGUAGGGGAACCUGCGGUUGGAUCACCUCCUUA
rnacentral:rRNA from 1 species